rnacentral:rRNA from 1 species
UGGGGAAUUUUGGACAAUGGGGGAAACCCUGAUCCAGCCAUCCCGCGUGUGCGAUGAAGGCCUUCGGGUUGUAAGGCACUUUUGGCAGGAAAGAAACGUCAUGGGUUAAUACCCCGUGAAACUGACGGUACCUGCAGAAUAAGCACCGGCUAACUACGUGCCAGCAGCCGCGGUAAUACGUAGGGUGCAAGCGUUAAUCGGAAUUACUGGGCGUAAAGCGUGCGCAGGCGGUUCGGAAAGAAAGAUGUGAAAUCCCAGAGCUUAACUUUGGAAUUGCAUUUUUAACUACCGGGCUAGAGUGUGUCAGAGGGAGGUGGAAUUCCGCGUGUAGCAGUGAAAUGCGUAGAUAUGCGGAGGAACACCGAUGGCGAAGGCAGCUUCCUGGGAUAACACUGACGCUCAGGCACGAAAGCGUGGGGAGCAAACA